rnacentral:lncRNA from 1 species
AUCCCUGGGCCUGGGCCUACCUAGGUGAAGACAGGCAUUUUUGUUUUCCUGCCCGGAUGUUGCAUUUCCCAAGACCACCCUGGCCUGCCAUGCCCUCAUCCUGUGCCUUUAAAAACCCCCGAGACCCUGGCAGGCAGACGCACAAGCAGCUGGACAUUGAGAGGAGCAUAUAGGCAGAGAAUACAGGGGCUGCUGGAUGUCGAAAGGAACGCACCAGCAUAGGAGCACACCGGCAUGCUGGCAGGCCAUUGACCAGCGGAAGAAUGCAGAGUUUGUCGCGGGAGGUCAGAGAAGAGUCAGGCCGCCAUACCUGACUCCAGGAGAAAACCGUCUCCCUUCUGGUUCCCCCGUCUGCCGAGAGCUACUUCCACUCAAUAAAACUUUCCACUCAUUCUUCAAGCCCACGUGUGAUCCAAUUCUUCCCGUACACCAAGGUCUCGCUGUGUUUCCCAGGCUGGGUGCAGUGGCUAUUCAAAGGUACAAUGAUAGCUCACUGCAGCCUGGAACUCCUGGACUCAAGCGAUCCUCCUGCCUCAGCUGCGACUAACAGAAACAGGGUCUUGCUCUGUUGCCCUGGCUGGAGUGCAAUGGUAUGAUCAUAGCUCACAGUAGCCUUGAACUCCUGGGCCCAAGCCAUCCUCCUACCUCAGCAACCAGAGUAGCUGGGAUUACAGGCGAAUGCCACCACACCUGGAAUUGGAAAAAUGAAUGUAAUUUGACAUAUGUCUUGAGUCUGGUUGGCUUCUGAGGAACUUGUGUGCAUCUCAUCAGUAUGCAUCUUAAGAACUGAAAUGACCCUACUUCAGCAUUGUGAGAAGACAUGCAUUCUCUUCGUAUAAAUAAUGUGGAUCUUACAUGUAAAGUAUUAUAAAGAUUAGCUGUUUAACAACUUAAAUAAGCUUGUGAAUAAUAAAUUAAUAACAAUGUUAUGCUAAUACGUAACUAUGAUAUUUGCUGAACAAAAUAAAUUUGCCUACUUUGGAAGCAGAUUGGGUGGUUUAAUAUAUCAGCAAAAGAGUGUUUUUAAAAAAUAUCAAAGUUCUGUUAAUCAAAACGUUUAUUGUAGGACAGUUAGUAAUGUUUUGUUUGCCAACUUAUAUUACAAAGUCUCUGUCUUAAGUGUUUCCUUGCAAAUAAAAUGACAAUACUGCCU